rnacentral:rRNA from 1 species
UACGAAGGUCCCGAGCGUUGUUCGGAAUCACUGGGCGUAAAGGGCGCGUAGGCGGCCAGCACAAGUCAGUUGUGAAAUCUCCGAGCUUAACUCGGAAAGGUCAACUGAUACUGUGCGGCUAGAGUGCAGAAGGGGCAACUGGAAUUCUUGGUGUAGCGGUGAAAUGCGUAGAUAUCAAGAGGAACACCUGCGGCGAAGGCGGGUUGCUGGGCUGACACUGACGCUGAGGCGCGAAAGCCAGGGGAGCGAACGGG